GCGGGGGUAGCUCAACUGGUUAGAGCGCCGCCCUGUCACGGCGGAGGUUGCGGGUUCAAGUCCCGUCCCUCGCG
rnacentral:tRNA from 1 species